rnacentral:lncRNA from 1 species
CCCAGGGCAGUCCUGCCCCCAGGGGACACUGGGUAAUGCCUGGGGACCUCUGUGGUGGUCACACCGGGGAGCUCCUGGCAUGCAGGGGGUGGGGGCCAGGGGUGCGGCUCCGCCCCCAGGGCCCCCCAUCCGGCCUCUGCAGAGGACCACCCGCCCGCGUGGACAGUGCCGAGGGGGAGCCUGACUCAGCCCGAAAUCCUACCGCCAGUUGAAUGGUCCAAGAGGCAGAGGCCAGACCCUGGUUCAUGUGUGUCCCAGGCAGCCCCGCCUGGACCACUGGACUUCCUGUGUGUGUGCCCAGAGGGGUAUGGGCAGGGGUGGCCCAGAACCUUCUGGAAGGUGGGGAGGCCAGACGCGGGUGCUCAGCCGGCCCUCCGGGUGGAGGUGUGCGCCGGGCAGGAAGCCUCAGGUCAGAGGCGGAAGCGGGCCUCCCUCUGCGGGCCGCGACUCCGGGUGAACGGAGGUCAGAGGAAACCGCCACGGGGCUUCCCAGAAAGCAGGGUCCCGGCUGGUGGGGCGAGGAAGGGGAAGGGGCGCCCAGGCCGCGCCCUCCGCUGCCGGGCGCUGCCCAGGUGUGCGGGCCUCGGGCCCAGCUCCUGCAGGAACUUCAGGCUCCAGACAAACAUCCCCGCUCAGGGCCACCUUCUCCUGCCCCCUGCCCCCUGCCAAGGGCUGCCAGACCUUCCCAGGACCUUCAGCAUCACUACUUUGUUGGAUUUUCCCACCUCCCAUCUCUGCGGCUUCGGACUCGGCAGUGGGCUCUUCAACAUGACACAUGAGCACAAGCAGCGCGAGAAAACGUAGGUGAGCUGGACCCAUCGACGUUAAACAGUCGGGUGCGUGAAAGGACCCCGUCAAGGGACAAGCCGCAGAGCGGGAGGGGAUACUUGCAGAUGCUGCCUGGGGGACGGGUCUAGCGCCCGCUGUGGAAGGAAUCCUCACGGCUCAGCACCCAGUUAAGAAGCCGGCAGAGGAUGCGGAUGGGCACCUCCCCAGAGAUGACGCGCAAGUGGCCACUGCGCACGUGAACGGGCGCUGGACUCGGUUCCCCACGGAUGACGCCUGGAUUUGGGCUGGAUUUCUGGCAGGUCCGCAGAGGGAUGGGGUCCCAGCGCGGGGACCUGGGAGGUGCCUUGGCCAGGCCGAGGCCCAGGGUCCUGGGGUGGGGGGUCAGGAGGGAUGCUGGAAUGAACCCCUGGGCGUGCUGUCUCCUGCCUUCACCCCACAUUAAAGAGUAGGAAGUGGCUCCCAAUGGACAGGAAGCAGACCCUGUGUGACCCCUCCUUCUCCUCCCCUGCCCCAGUGGGGGGGGGACCCCUGCCCAGGGAGGCAGGGCACAGGGC